rnacentral:rRNA from 1 species
GGACCAAGGAGUCUAGCAUGUGCGCGAGUCAUUGGGAUAUUGACUAAACCUAAAGGCGCAAUGAAAGUGAAGGUCCGCCUUGCGCGGACCGAGGGAGGAUGGGCGGUCCCGAGGGACCGCCUCGCACUCCCGGGGCGUCUCGUUCUCAUCGCGAGAAGAGGCGCACCCAGAGCGUACACGCUGGGACCCGAAAGAUGGUGAACUAUGCCUGGUCAGGACGAAGUCAGGGGAAACCCUGAUGGAGGUCCGUAGCGAUUCUGACGUGCAAAUCGAUCGUCGGAACUGGGUAUAGGGGCGAAAGACUAAUCGAACCAUCUAGUAGCUGGUUCCCUCCGAAGUUUCCCUCAGGAUAGCUGGCGCUCGCUUCUCGCGAGUCUCAUUCGGUAAAGCGAAUGAUUAGAGGCAUUGGGGUCGAAACGGCCUCAACCUAUUCUCAAACUUUAAAUGGGUGAGAUCUCCGGCUUGCUUGAACUGUGAAGCCGCGAGAUAUCGGAUCAGAGUGCCAAGUGGGCCACUUUUGGUAAGCAGAACUGGCGCUGUGGGAUGAACCAAACGCCGAGUUAAAGCGCCUAAAUCGACGCUUAUGGGAUACCAUGAAAGGCGUUGGUAACUUAAGACAGCAGGACGGUGGCCAUGGAAGUCGGA